GACGAACGCUGGCGGCGUGCCUAAUACAUGCAAGUCGAGCGAAUCAAUAGGAGCUCGCUCCUGUUGGUUAGCGGCGGACGGGUGAGUAACACGUGGGCAACCUGCCUGUAAGACUGGGAUAACACCGGGAAACCGGUGCUAAUACCGGAUAAUCCUUUUCCUCACAUGAGGGAAAGCUGAAAGUCGGUUUCGGCUGACACUUACAGAUGGGCCCGCGGCGCAUUAGCUAGUUGGUGAGGUAACGGCUCACCAAGGCGACGAUGCGUAGCCGACCUGAGAGGGUGAUCGGCCACACUGGGACUGAGACACGGCCCAGACUCCUACGGGAGGCAGCAGUAGGGAAUCUUCCACAAUGGACGAAAGUCUGAUGGAGCAACGCCGCGUGAGCGAUGAAGGCCUUCGGGUCGUAAAGCUCUGUUGUUAGGGAAGAACAAGUACCGGAGUAACUGCCGGUACCUUGACGGUACCUAACCAGAAAGCCACGGCUAACUACGUGCCAGCAGCCGCGGUAAGAC
rnacentral:rRNA from 1 species